UACGAAGGGGGCUAGCGUUGCUCGGAAUCACUGGGCGUAAAGGGUGCGUAGGCGGGUCUUUAAGUCCGGGGUGAAAUCCUGGAGCUCAACUCCAGAACUGCCUUUGAUACUGAGGAUCUUGAGUCCGGGAGAGGUGAGUGGAACUGCGAGUGUAGAGGUGAAAUUCGUAGAUAUUCGCAAGAACACCAGUGGCGAAGGCGGCGAUCUGGGCUGAUACUGACGCUGAGGUGCGAAAGCGUGGGGAGCAAACAGG
rnacentral:rRNA from 1 species